UUUGUCAGCCCUAGCCCAGACUACGGUCUAUUUGGGCUGCAAAUUUCAAACACCAGUCUCAGUUUUUAUCCAGUGCUUUGGUCUAAAAAGUUUAGUGUAAAAUGUUCACUUUGCGUUUUGUAUAAAU